CUGGGCUUAAAGCGGGUGUAGGCGGAACGGUAAGUAUCUUGUGAAAGCCCCGGGCUCAACCCGGGAAUUGCUCGAUAUACUGCCAUUCUUGAGGCAGGUAGGGGUCACUGGAACCUUAGGUGGAGCGGUGAAAUGCGUAGAUAUCUAAGGGAAUGCCUGUGGCGAAAGCGGGUGACUGGGCCUGUCCUGACGCUGAGACCCGAAAGCGUAGGUAGCGAACGGGAUUAGAUACCCCGGUAGUCUACGCCGUAAACGAUGCGCACUAGGUUCGAGAGCUCUGACGGCUUUCGUGCCGAAACAAAAGCGUGAAGUGCGCCGCCUGGGGAGUACGGCCGCAAGGCUAAAACUCAAAGGAAUUGACGGGGGCUCACACAAGCGGUGGAGCAUGUGGAUCAAUUCGAAGCAACGCGAAGAACCCUACCUGGGUUGAACUACAGCGGAUGCCCUUUCUGAAAGGGAAGUAAGCUGCCUUCGGGUGAAACGUUGAUAGGUGCUGCAUGGCUGUCGUCAGCUCGUGCUGUGAAGUGUCGGGUUAAGUCCCUUAACGAGCGAAACCCUUGUCGCUAGUUGCCAGCGGGUAAAGCCGGGGACUCUAGCGAGACUGCCGGCGUUAAGCCGGAGGAAGGUGGGGACGACGUCAAGUCAUCAUGGCCUUUAUGCCCAGGGUUUCACACGUGCUACAAUGGGGCGUACAGAGCGAAGCAAGACCGCGAGGUGGAGC
rnacentral:rRNA from 1 species